rnacentral:misc_RNA from 1 species
GAUGAAGAACGUAGCGAAAUGCGAUACUUGGUGUGAAUUGCAGAAUCCCGUGAACCAUCGAGUCUUUGAACGCAAGUUGCGCCCGAAGCCAUUAGGCCGAGGGCACGCCUGCCUGGGUGUCACACACCGUUACCCUCGCGCCAACGUCCAUCGUUGGCCGCGGCGCGGGGCGUGCGCUGACCUCCCGCGAGCGGGGUCUCGUGGUUGGUUGAAAAUCGAGUUCGCGGUCGAGGGUGCCGUGAUGAAAUGGUGGAUGGGCGACGCCCGAGGCCAAUCACGCGCGACUCCGUCCGGCUCGGACUCCUGGACCCCUUCGGCGUCUCCGGACGCUCUUUGGCGAGACCUCAGGUCAGGCGGGGCUACCCGCUGAGUUUAAGCAUAUCAAUAAGCGGAGGA